rnacentral:tRNA from 1 species
GCCGAUGUAGCUCAGUUGGCCAGAGCAGUUGAUUUGUAAUCAACUGGUCGGGGGUUCGAAUCCCUCCAUCGGCU